rnacentral:rRNA from 1 species
GAUGAACGCUAGCUACAGGCUUAACACAUGCAAGUCGAGGGGUAACGAGAGGAAAGCUUGCUUUCCUUGUCGACGACCGGCGCACGGGUGAGUAACGCGUAUCCAACCUGCCCCCAACUAGGGAAUAACCUUGCGAAAGUAAGACUAAUACCCUAUAAUUUCCUCAGAUGUCAUCUGACGAGGAAUAAAGAUUUAUCGGUUGUGGAUGGGGAUGCGUCUGAUUAGCUUGUUGGCGGGGUAACGGCCCACCAAGGCAACGAUCAGUAGGGGUUCUGAGAGGAAGGUCCCCCACAUUGGAACUGAGACGCGGUCCAAACUCCUACGGGAGGCAGCAGUGAGGAAUAUUGGUCAAUGGGCGCAAGCCUGAACCAGCCAAGUAGCGUGCAGGAUGACGGCCCUAUGGGUUGUAAACUGCUUUUAUACAGGAAUAAAGUUAGCCACGUGUGGUUAUUUGUAGGUACUGUAUGAAUAAGGACCGGCUAAUUCCGUGCCAGCCGCCGCAGUAA